GCACGAAAGGGUGUUGAACAAUACUAUAAUUUAUACGGUGCUGACCCGCAUUCGCGAAAUGCAGUGCUCGUGUUAUGUAAUGUUACGUAAAACCGGCCAUGGUUAUUGUCGUGUUCGUCCAUCCUUUGUUAUUGUCCUGGUUAGGUACUUGUCUGUAUGUGUCCGUGUGAUGGAGUAAUCAGUUAGUGUUGUUUGAGCUGUGAUAGAGUGAGCUUGACAGUGUGAGAGUGAACCGACCGACAGCUUAAGACCUAGGGGUACGGCCUGGUAUGAGACAGGCCCGUGGUCGAUUCCUAAAAUUUCAGUUAGGAUCGAACCCUUCGUCCAGUUUGGCAAAAUUCAGUGCCAAAAUCCAUCACCUACCCAGUCGUCAGGUCAGAAUUGUCGGUGUACUGUAGCAACAUUCAACCUAUGGGCGCAGACUCUCCGCUCAAGUUUAUGCAACCAACAAUAACCAUGGCCGACCCCUUCGACCAGACUUUUGCUUGACCCGCUUUGCAUGAUCUGAGGGAUUUCCACUGACAGAGGACCAUUGAGCCUAGCAGUAGCAGUGAGCACCAGAUCAACCGUCGGGUCGCUGAACGGCGAGUUACAAGUAACUCAGAGGAGUUCCAUUGAACCCCUUCGUAAAUAAGAACUGUUUGGGGAAUUAAUAUACAAAAUUGUAAUUCAAAUCGAAAAGAAGUAGAAGAAGACAUAUUGGUCAGUGAUUUUGAUUGGUAAUUAUUGUAUUGUGUUUAUCAAGAAAUUAACGGAAGCAAAUCAUUGUACAAAAGCAAUUGGAUACUAUUUAAAGAAUUGUCAAAACCCAAGAUAGGGUAAAGAAGUACUGUAAGACUUUAUUCUCGACAUCAAGAUCGUUUGUAAAUAAAUUGUAAAUAAGUUUCUGGUAAA